AAAAAGAAAAAGACAAAGAGGAGGGCAAAGAAAGGAAGAAAGAAGAGAAGGUGGAAGGAAAAGAAAUUCACAUUGCUCCCUGAAAUGAAGGGAUGAAUUAGCCUAAUCACAUAAAUGACUUCAAAUAAAGCUGAUAGACCUUCUAGAGACGGGAAGAAGCACACCCCUGCUAGCAGACUGUAGAAGCAGAGGAUACAUCAGUAUGCUUAAUAGAAAACAGCCAAGAUCAACUAAAUGAGCAAACUUUGGUUAUAUUCCUUCAGAAUCUGAGGAAAUAACAGGCAUUGAAGAGGGCUCGUUGAAGAGUGCUCUUUCCAGUCUCUAAUGAAUGAGAAUCUAUUUUGGAAGUUUUGGUUUUACCGAAUUUGCAUGUAUCUCAUCUUGCAUUUGAGAGUGUGCACCCUGGUGACUGUUACCAGGAUGGAGAAAAAGAGAUGUAGGCAAGAAAUUGAUUGUUUUGAUGAUGUCUCUUGCACAGGACCCAGAGCUUUACAAA